CAGGGAGACAACAAAAUGUUUAAUAUUAUUAUUUUGUCACCUUAGGUCGAUCGGUAUCUCACGUUCUUAAUUCGUUAAGAAUUUCAUUUCCUAAGUUUUUCUAGGUCACACCCAUUAUUUUUCCUGGGCCAUUAGCUCAGGUGGUUAGAGCGCACCCCUGAUAAGGGUGAGGUCCCUGGUUCAAGUCCAGGAUGGCCCAUAUCUCUAUGUUGGGGGUAUAGCUCAGUUGGUAGAGCGCCUGCUUUGCAAGCAGGAUGUCAGCGGUUCGAGUCCGCUUACCUCCACUGAUUACCACCUCUUCCAUAACCGAUAGGAAGGAAAUGUUUUGAGUUGUGAUCAUUAUUCUGAACGAAUCUAGCUUCCUAAUGAAAUCAUUAAGAUGCUGGACUCAUUGAAUUAAUUUCAUUGUUUUCAGAGAACCUUGACAACUGCAUAGAUUAUUUUUAAAGACAAUAAGCAUCUUUAAUGAUGCAGAUUUAUUAUUUGUGCGAAUGCAUUAAUAACAAUUCUAUUAAGCUGAUGCUUCAAUUUUUGAAGUUAUU
rnacentral:tRNA from 1 species